ACAGACUGUGUCCAGGGUGAGAAGGGUCAGCUGUGAUCCGAGCUGCACGCCCCAGUGUCCUGGAGGUGUACAGGUCCUGCAGAGAUGGGAGUUUGCAGCCAAUCACCUUCUCAGCAGAGCGCACAAGGAGUAGUGCAGUCCUUAUCCCAGCUAUCUAUAACAUCCUCUUGCUCCCUUGGGGACAGUUUCGGUUCCCAGUCAUCAUGGGAAAAACUUUCAGCUGAUCUGAAUUCUUCCACAUACAGGAACCCACAACCAAGUAGUAUUUCCAAAGUAGGAACUUGCCAAAACAGCGAUUCACCAGAUUCAGAUGGGAGCUCCUUCAUUUGUGAAACGGUCGAUUUUGAAACAAAUGAUUCCCCUUCUGAUCACAUAAACAGUAAAGAGUAAAAAACAGAAAAUAUGUGCUUUAUCAAACCACAACUGAUCAAAAGCCCCAAAGUUUACCAAAAUGUGGAAACUGAAGUACAACCUGCAACAAACAGCACUUUAGCAAUGCAAAAUAAUCCAUCUCAAGCUGUCACAGAACCGUUACCUGUCACUGAAACCUCUACAAAGAGUUCGUUUGGAGUCCUGGAGGUGAACCAGAGUUGUUGUCAACAAACUGCAGUGCAGAAUGUGCCCCAGAAGAAGAACUCCAUGUGCUACAGCUGCCUAGACCCAAGCACUGUAGCUGAUGCUGUUCCUAUGAAACCAUUCUUGUUGUCACAACGGGAUUACCAAGCUCUUCUGGCUGGCAUUUGCAAUGAUUGUCUGCUGAAGAGGUUGCACAAUGAUGAGAAAAAAUUCAAGUUGGAGCAGUACAAAAGUGCCCACAGAUGGGUGACAGCCAGCGGCAAAGGACUGACCUACCUCACUGACCCACAGAUUCACUCCACCAGGAUCCCUAAGGGUCCUUCUAACUUUGCUGCCAGAGGGCUCAGUUUGUUCCUGAAAUAUCAACAUGGACCUGAGUGCAAUCAGAUUUGCCACCUCCUCAAACUACCUCCACUGGACCCAAACUCAAACGUUUCUCCUCAAAAACUUUGAGACGUUGGACACUAUUUAUUGCUAUCCACAAAAAAUUAAAAAUUAAUUAAGGGGCUUGUUUUGGCAAUUUUUUGGAACUGACUUUCAUACUGUUUUCCUUUUUUUAAAAUGUACCGAUAAAUGCAUUUUGCACACACAAAUCGUAAUCUUCAGAAAUAAGGAUUUAAACACUGUUGUGCAGUUGUCGUUUGUUUUAAUCGUUCAUAUUGCUAUUACCUUUUCUUGGAAUACUAGAAGUGUAACAAAUUUACAAAGAGCUUUUGGGUGCUACAUUUAGUUACAAGAGAUAAGAGAUCAUUCUUUCAUAAGAGAAUGAUCUGAAAAGAUAAAUGCAACAAAAUUAUUUAUGUUGUUUCAUUACUUUUAGCACAUUAUCAAACAGUUAACAUCUUAGGCUCUUUUUGUCAGGUGGUCAAAAAUCUCACAGCUGACAGGAUUUUUUGUUAUUGUACCUUUUUUUUUUAUUGGAAGUCACAAAAAACAUGUGACUGCAGUCACAAGGAAACAUGAAUCGAUAAGAGAAAAAAUAUUUUUGAAAAGAUGUUAUCCAUCACUGUCUCCUCUCUAUGAGUGGAUUGCUGCCUAACUGGAAAGAGAGUUUCCAGUGAAUCACCUGAUGCUGUUUGAAGUCGUUUUGAAUGCUAUUAUGGAAGAUUUUAAGUAGUCUGUCCUUUUAGUGGGAUAUAAAAACAUGUCAUGUUAGCUGUUAAGCUUAUUUGCAAAAGUGGUUAGCACUGUCGGCUCAUAGCAAGAAGAGUCCUGGGUUCGGAUCCAGUCUGGGGCCUUUAUGUGUGGCGCUGUCCCCCAAUCCACUCCUUUUGGACUGAAAAAUGAUCCAAUAUCCCGGGCUGUAAAAUCCCUCUAUCACUGUGCUUGCUCGGUAAUGUUGCACAACUUGACAAAAUGUCUCAUAAUGCACAUCCGCAUAACCACACAAUGCGUUCAUGCACAUAUGACUCCCACACAAUUCUAAUGACAUAUAAAAUAUGCAAAUAUGCGCAACUGUUGUAUUGUCUUCUUUUCUUGUUUGUAUCACUGCACAUUUUGUCCUUUUGUAACAAUAUAGAUAAAAAAUUAAUGAACUUUGA